rnacentral:rRNA from 1 species
AUUGAACGCUGGCGGCAGGCUUAACACAUGCAAGUCGAGCGAGCGGCGGACGGGUGAGUAAUGUCUGGGAAACUGCCUGAUGGAGGGGGCUAACUACUGGAAACGGUAGCUAAUACCGCAUACCAUCAGAUGUGCCCAGAUGGGAUUAGCUUGUAGGUGGGGUAAUGGCUCACCAAGGCGACGAUCCCUAGCUGUUCUGAGAGGAUGACCAGCCACACUGGAACGGAGGAACGGUCCAGACUCCUACGGGAGGUAUCAGUGGGGAAUAUGGCACAAUGGGCGCAAGCCUGAUGCAGCCAUGCCGCGUGUGUGAAGAAGGCCUUCGGGUUGUAAAGCACUUUCAGCGAGGAGGCGUUACUAGCAGAAGAAGCACCGGCUAACUCCGUGCCAGCAGCCGCGGUAAUAG